GGGGAUUUAGCUCAGUGGUAGAGUGCUUGCCUAGCAAGCACAAGGACCUGGGUUCGGUCCCCAGCUCCA
rnacentral:tRNA from 1 species